GGAGAAAAUAUUUGCAAACGAAUCAACGGACAAUGGAUUAAUCUACAAAAUAUAUAAACAGCUCAUGCAGCACAAUAUUAAAAAAACAAACACCCCAAUCCAAAAAUGGGCAGAAGACCUAAAUAGACAUUUCUCCAAAGAAGACAUACAGAUGGCCAAGAAGCUCAGGAAAAGCUGCUCAACAUCACUAAUUAUUAGAGAAAUGCAAAUCAAAACUACAAUGAGGUAUCACCUCACACCAGUUAGAAUGGCAUCAUCAGAAUAUCUACAAACAACAAAUGCUGUAGAGGGUGUGGAGAAAAGGGAACCCUCUUGCACUGUUGGUGGGAAUGUAAAUUGAUACAGCCACUAUGGAGAACAGUGUGGAGGUUCCUUAAUAAACUAAAAAUAGAAUUACUAUAUGAUCCAGCAAUCCCACUACUGGGCAUACACCCAGAGAAAACCAUAAUUCAAAAAGACACAUGUACCCCAAUUUUCAUUGCAGCACUAUUUACAAUAGCCAGGUAAUGGAAACAACCUAAAUGCCCAUCGCCAGAUGAAUGGACACAGAAGAUGUGGUACAUAUAUACAAUGGAAUAUUACUCAGCCAUAAAAAGGAACGAAAUUGGGUCAUUUGCAGAGACGUGGAUGGAUCUAGAGACUGUCAUACAGAGAGAAGCAAGUCAGAAAGAGAAAAACAGAUAUCGUAUAUUAACGCAUAUAUGUGGAACCUAGAAAAAUGGUACAGAUGCACCGGUUUGCAGGGCAGAAAUUGAGACACAGAUGUAGAGAAGAAACAUCUGGACACCAAGGGGGGAAGCGGCAGGGGGGUGGUGGUGGUGGUGUGAUGAAUUGGGCGAUUGGGAUUGACAUGUAUACACUUAUGUGUAUAAAAUUGAUGACUAAUAAGGACCUGCUGUAUAAAAAAAUAAGUAAAAUAAAAAUUAAAAAAAAAAAAAGAAACUUGCUUUCUCCUACUUGCACCCCCUCCUCCCCCAAACCCAGAGAUAAUCAUCGAACUAAAUUUUGUGUUAAUCAUUCCCUUACUUUCUUUAAAAUUUUAUAACUAUGCAUGUACCCAUAAAAAUAUAUUAGCUAAAUUUGCCUGUGUGUGAACUUUAUAUAAAUGUAAUCAUACUGUAUAUAUUCUUCUACUUCUUUUGCUCAGCAUCCUGCUUUUUGAGAUUCAUUCAUGUGUUACACAUAGCUUUCCAUUCACUUUCAUUGCUGCUCAGUAUUCUAUUGUAUAAUUAGAAUUAUAAUUCAUUCUACUACUGAUGAAGAUGUGAGUUUUUCCAAAUAUUUGUAAUAUUGCAACAAUGCUGCUAUUAACAUUCUUAGUGCACACGUUCAAAAGUUUGUCCAGGACCUAUAAUUGUGGAAGUGCUUGGUCAUAGGCCACACACAUGGUCGACUUCACUAUGUACUGUCAAACUUUUCUAAAGUGGUUGUACCAGCUUCCACGCCAAACCAGUAGGACAUGAGGGUUCCCUUGCUCCUUAUCCUUGCCAGUAGUAUACAUAUAAAAAUAGAAAAGGUGGGGCUUCCCUGGUGGCGCAGUGGUUGAGAGUCCGCCUGCCGAUGCAGGGGACACGGGUUCGUGCCCCGGUCCGGGAGUAUCCCACAUGCCGCGGAGCGGCUGGGCCCGUGAGCCAUGGCCGCUGAGCCUGCGCGUCUGGAGCCUGUGCUCCGCAACGGGAGAGGCCACAGCAGUGAGAGGGCCCGCGUACCACAAAAAAAAAAAAUAGCCAAGGUGAUUAUUAAAAUAACAGAGAAUAAAUGUUUAACUUCCACACAAGAAGAAAGGGAAAAAAGAAUGAAGACACACACAACACACACACACACACACACACACACACACACACAAACACAUAAGUUUAUGCUUCGGACACCAUCCUUAAUUUGUGGAUUAAGCCAAAACUAGAUUUUUACUUGAAUUUUAUACUUGAUCAGCCUCUUUUCCUUUCUAUCCUCUCCUUCACAGGCUUUUUGUAUAAUUCCUUCAGUAAAACAUUUAUCCAAAUUCCUGUCUCAAGUUCCUAGGGAACCAAAUCUAAGACACCAUUUCCUUACUAGUCUUAAUAAUCAUAAGUAUUUUAUAUUCUAUAUCUAAUAUAUAAUGAAUUUACAGUUCUGUUUCUGUUGCUUUUCACAUAUAAUGCUAGUUUCCUUGUAUAUAUUGUAAUUCUUAACUUUAAAGUGCUCGUUCUUUGAGAACUGGGUUAAAGUGUGUUAUUUGAAAGGUAUUCACAUUUGCUUCUACCAGUUGCCGAGGAUCACUUCCGAGUUGUUUUCAGGUUUUUCAAAUCACAUGAACAGCAUGUAACUAGAUAUAUUAAUCCAUGUGAGGACCAAUUAAUAGUUACAAAUCUUCACAAGUUAUUAAUUUUUCUUGCUGAUCCUUUAUAUAGCCUUUGGUUGUCACCAUUAUGCCAGGCUCUCCUAUCAGCUUACUUACCUUGGCCAAUCCUAGGCUUGUCUCAUGUCCUAUUUAGUUAUCAACAUUGAAGCUCAGUGACUCUGGGAUUCAGCAGAAACUCUGAGGAUGAAAGCCAUGCCUUGAUCCUAAGUUUACUUUGAUCUUUUCUUACUUCCCAGUUUCCUGCUUUUAUUUCAUUUUGGGGUUCUGAGAAUUUCUCACUUCUGUGCCAUCUCAUUUUAAAAGGCUUUUUUGUUGUCGUUUUUCUUUUUUUUUUUUUUUU